rnacentral:rRNA from 1 species
CUGGCGGCAGGCCUAACACAUGCAAGUCGAGCGCGCCUUCGGGUGAGCGGCGGACGGGUUAGUAACGCGUGGGAACGUGCCCUUCUCUACGGAAUAGCCUCUGGAAACGGAGAGUAAUACCGUAUACGCCCUUUGGGGGAAAGAUUUAUCGGAGAAGGAUCGGCCCGCGUUAGAUUAGGUAGUUGGUGGGGUAACGGCCUACCAAGCCUACGAUCUAUAGCUGGUUUUAGAGGAUGAUCAGCAACACUGGGACUGAGACACGGCCCAGACUCCUACGGGAGGCAGCAGUGGGGAAUCUUAGACAAUGGGGGCAACCCUGAUCUAGCCAUGCCGCGUGAGUGAUGAAGGCCUUAGGGUCAUAAAGCUCUUUCGCCAGGGAUGAUAAUGACAGUACCUGGUAAAGAAACCCCGGCUAACUCCGUGCCAGCAGCCGCGGUAAUACGGAGGGGGUUAGCGUUGUUCGGAAUUACUGGGCGUAAAGCGCACGUAGGCGGAUUAGAAAGCUAGAGGUGAAAUCCCAGGGCUCAACCCUGGAACUGCCUUUAGAACUACUAGUCUAGAGUUCGAGAGAGGUGAGUGGAAUUCCAAGUGUAGAGGUGAAAUUCGUAGAUAUUUGGAGGAACACCAGUGGCGAAGGCGGCUCACUGGCUCGAUACUGACGCUGAGGUGCGAAAGUGUGGGGAGCAAACA